GGGGUGUGGGUCUGGGUCCGGUGCGUGCGACGGGAUGGUGUUGCGCGCCCCGCUGUGCGAGCGUGGCCUAACUGGGUCUGCCUCUCUCUCUCCCUCUUUUUUUUUCGCGGCGUGCGUCGUGCGUCCGCGGUACGGGGGAGUCAACGCGAAGGGGUGGCAGGAGGGGUUGGAUAUGAGGGUGGAGGAGGAGGGGGCGAGGGAGGGGAGAGCGGCAGAGGCGGACGGCGGCGGGGGCUGGGGCGUGGUGGGCGAGGCGGCGGACGAGAAGGCUCCGUACCGGAGGAGGCGGUGGCCGCUCCGGCGCGGCCGGCGGCCCUGCUCGCCGCGGCCUCUCCGGAGGCGGGCGGGCGCGGCGCGCGACCUCCUCGAGCGCACCCUGCUCUGGAAGCAGGCGCUCGACGGGCCGCUGGGCGCUAGGCUGUUGUAGGGGGCGGUCCACGACGUGCGAACAAUGUGGUUCCACAGAGGGAGCCGCGGGCACCUCUUGGGAUUCGAGCACCGCACCAGGCUUAGGCACCGACUGGAGGAGCUAGACCUAGUGUUUCUCAAACUUUCCGGACUAAAAGGAGCCAAGAAGAGUCCUCUUUGAGGCAACCACCCUUCACACGGAAUACGGGUCACAAUGCCACCUGUGGUCAAACCAAGUACCCGACCAGUCAACCCCCUACCUGCUCGUUAUUGAGAGCCUCUCCAAGAGUUAAGAGCUCCACUCUCCACCCUCAACGUCGAGUUCCCACGACCUUUCUGAGGAAUGUCGGCUAAACGUCUACCGGAGCGACAGGACGCGUCGUCGUAGGCACUUAAGAAUACGUCACUUCGAUACGUACCAGAUCCGUAAGGAUGUUGAGCACGAGAAACAGAUCAACUUUGACCGUUUAGACAACACGCUCUAUACAAGAUACUACCAUUACGUUUUCUCCUCGGUCCACGUUAACAAACGGCACAUCGUGGUAGCAAAAAUGCAAAACCAAGUAUGGUCAAUGUACGAUGUUCCCCGUUUCUCCUGGACCUUUAACAAGCAGCAAACCGUCUGAUGUGUUAUGCAGUAGUGAUGGGUGUAGAACUUUUAUAAUUUUUCUCACUUCCAAAUAGAAAACUCCGUCGAUACCCUCUGUGAGGUCGUUAUCUAGAAUGAAGGUUGUUUAUACGACGGACCCGUCAACUCCAACGUCUCGUAUGACGAAUGAACUAUCGGUCCACCGUUCCACAACCAAAGUGGGUACCACACGAAUUGUGACUAUUAUACUCACACAACCCGGAUUGAUAACUAAUACCUGGGAAACCAAAGAAUCUACGAAAACUAGGAUCGAAAUGAGGCUUAUGUUGACUAGAGGGUCCAUUCUCUAUGACAAAACGUUUAGUUGGACUACAACCAAACACCUUAUAACGGGUCAAGUGACCCGGUAACAGCCGACGCCUAGAAUAGUCGUUCCUACUUCGUUUAAUACAUUACCUCUCCAUACCCUGUUUUAAGUACCUACUUAUAGUUAGAUAUUACUGUUUCUUUGAACCAGACAGUUUUAUAUUGUUCGUCGAAUAAUCGUUCGACGACUUGUUGAACCGACAGCUAUUUCAACUGAUAUGUUUAAAAAAGGCAGAAGAAAGCUUACAGUUUCGUCUGGCACUGUAGGGUCUUUGACUCGAUGAUCAAGGUUAUUUUCGACGUGAGGACCUAUAACCCUUUCUUUCUUUCCUUCGUACCUAAUCAACCCAUGUUUGUAUAUAACUCCUCGACCACCGAUCGCCGCAGAGCCUACUUCUUUCCUUUCGGUGUUACUUGGCACAAUUGGGUUUCAUACAAGAAGCCUUGAUAGAAACGGUCUGUCGCUAACUGCGUCGACUAGAUCCACUAAUGCUCCUUCAAGCGGCCGAUAACUUUCAAUACCUUGUAGGUAUACUGCUCGUCGGCCCUUACCUCUUUAUGCGGGCGAACGGUGGCCGGACCCGUAUGUCCGGACCCCACACGUACGAUAGGACGAGCAGUACUCGGUGUAGGUCGAUACUGGCUAUAUGUCACAACAUAUGAAAAACCAACAUAUCCUCCAAAUGGGACAUUAUACAUUCACAAGGCUCGCGGCGUAACAAAAUAAUGACACCGCGCUACAGGCUUUGAAUCAGUACAACAAACAACGGAACUGAAACUCAUCGUCUUGCAAGUCGGCAAGUCCUCAUCAACCCUUUACUUCGCGAGGUAUGGAUUUCAAAGACUCUGCCAUUACAAUAGUCACCUUUUGGGAACACAACCUAUAAUAGCCGACAACUAGACCAACGUAGGCCGCUGUACCCUCCACCAU
rnacentral:rRNA from 1 species